UACGUAGGCAGCGAGCGUUGUUCGGAGUUACUGGGCGUAAAGAGUGCGUAGGCGGUUUUCUAAGUUUGGUGUGAAAUCUCCCGGCUUAACUGGGAGGGUUCGCCGAAAACUGGAAGGCUUGAGUAUGGGAGAGGUAAGCGGAAUUCCUGGUGUAGCGGUGAAAUGCGUAGAUAUCAGGAGGAACACCUGCGGUGUAGACGGCUUACUGGACCAUAACUGACGCUGAGGCACGAAAGCGUGGGUAGCAAACAGG
rnacentral:rRNA from 1 species